rnacentral:piRNA from 1 species
UGGUCUGAAUCCUGUGUGUCCGACC